rnacentral:rRNA from 1 species
GAUGAACGCUGGCGGCGCGCCUAACACAUGCAAGUCGAACGAUUAAAGCACCUUCGGGUGUGUAUAAAGUGGCGAACGGCUGAGUAACACGUGGGCAACCUGCCCCUCUCAUUGGGAUAGCCACGGGAAACCGUGGAUAAUACCGAAUACUUCGGGACUUCCGCAUGGAAGACUCGAGAAAGCUCCGGCGGAGAGGGAUGGGCCCGCGGCCUGUUGGCUUGUUGGUGGGGUAAUGGCCUACCAAGGCAAUGAUGGGUAGCUGGGUUGAGAGACCGACCAGCCAGAUUGGGACUGAGACACGGCCCAGACUCCUACGGGAGGCAGCAGUGGGGAAUCUUGCACAAUGGGCGAAAGCCUGAUGCAGCGACGCCGCGUGCGGGAUGAAGGCCUUCGGGUUGUAAACCGCUUUCAGCAGGGACGAGGCGAAAGUGACGGUACCUGCAGAAGAAGCCCCGGCUAACUACGUG